CCUACGGGCGGCAGCAGUAGGGAAUAUUCCACAAUGAGCGAAAGCCUGAUGGAGCGACACCGCGUGAGUGAUGAAGGUCUUCGGAUUGUAAAGCGCUGUUAUAAGGGAAGAACGUUUGCAAUAGGAAUUGAUUGCAGACCGACGGUACCUUGUCAGAAAGCUACGGCUAACUACGUGCCAGCAGCCGCGGUAAUGCAUAGGUGGCAAGCGUUAUCCGGAUUUAUUGGGCGUAAGGCGUUCGUGGGCGGUUUGUUAAGUCUGGGGGAAAAUCCUGGGGCUAAACCCCGGCUUGCUUUGGGGACUGGGAAACUGGAGUGCAGUAGAGGUAAGUGGAAUUCCAUGUGAAGCGGUGAAAUGCGUAGAUAUAUGGAAGAACACCAGAGGCGAAGGCGGCUUACUGG
rnacentral:rRNA from 1 species